rnacentral:rRNA from 1 species
UACGGAGGGUGCGAGUGUUAAUCGGAAUUACUGGGCGUAAAGCGCACGCAGGCGGUUUGUUAAGCUAGANGUGAAAACCCCGGGCUCAACCUGGGAUGGUCAUUUAGAACUGGCAGACUAGAGUCUUGGAGAGGGGAGUGGAAUUCCAGGUGUAGCGGUGAAAUGCGUAGAUAUCUGGAGGAACAUCAGUGGCGAAGGCGACUCCCUGGCCAAAGACUGACGCUCAUGUGCGAAAGUGUGGGUAGCGAACAGG